rnacentral:rRNA from 1 species
GACGAACGCUGGCGGCGUGCUUAACACAUGCAAGUCGAGCGGUAAGGCCCUUUCGGGGGUACACGAGCGGCGAACGGGUGAGUAACACGUGGGUGACCUGCCCUCAGCUCUGGGAUAAGCCUGGGAAACCGGGUCUAAUACCGGAUAUGACUCCAUGACGCAUGUUGUGGGGUGGAAAGCCUUGUGCGGCUGAGGAUGGGCCCGCGGCCUAUCAGCUUGUUGGUGGGGUGAUGGCCUACCAAGGCGACGACGGGUAGCCGGCCUGAGAGGGCGACCGGCCACACUGGGACUGAGACACGGCCCAGACUCCUACGGGAGGCAGCAGUGGGGAAUCUUGCGCAAUGGGCGAAAGCCUGACGCAGCGACGCCGCGUGAGGGAUGACGGCCUCGGUGU